UACAGAGGGUGCGAGCGUUAAUCGGAAUUACUGGGCGUAAAGCGCACGUAGGCGGCUUUGUAAGUUAGAGGUGAAAGCCCGGGGCUCAACUCCGGAAUUGCCUUUAAGACUGCAUCGCUAGAAUUGUGGAGAGGUAAGUGGAAUUCCGAGUGUAGAGGUGAAAUUCGUAGAUAUUCGGAAGAACACCAGUGGCGAAGGCGACUUACUGGACACAUAUUGACGCUGAGGUGGCGAAAGCGUGGGGAGCAAAC
rnacentral:rRNA from 1 species